CAGGCCUAACACAUGCAAGUCAAACGGGUAGCAAUACCAGUGGCGUACGGGUGCGUAACGCGUAUGCAACCUACCUUUAACUGGGGGACAACAGCGGGAAACUGCUGCUAAUACCCCGUAACACAGUACUGCGGCAUCGUAGUGUUGUUAAAGAAGCGAUUCGGUUAGAGAUGGGCAUGCGUUCGAUUAGCUAGUUGGUGCGGGUAACGGCCCACCAAGGCGACGAUCGAUAGGGGCUCUGAGAGGAGAAUCCCCCACACUGGCACUGAGAUACGGGCCAGACUCCUACGGGAGGCAGCAGUAGGGAAUAUUGGGCAAUGGAGGAAACUCUGACCCAGCCAUGCCGCGUGCAGGAAGAAGGCCCUCUGGGUUGUAAACUGCUUUUGAUAGGGAAGAAAGAGGUCAUGCGUGACCAGUUGACGGUACCUAUCGAAUAAGCACCGGCUAACUACGUGCCAGCAGCCGCGGUAAU
rnacentral:rRNA from 1 species